AUAGGAAUCAAUCUGGGGAUCUUAUUAAAAUGAAGGCUCUGAUUUAUUAAUCUGAGCUGAAACCUGAUGUUCUUCAUUUCUUACAAGCUUCCAGGUGAUGCCAGU
rnacentral:pre_miRNA from 1 species